ACCUGGGUGGCUCAGUGGAUUAAGCAUCUGACUUCAGCUUAGGUCAUGAUCUCAUGAUCAUGGGUUUGAACCCCAUCUUUGGCU
rnacentral:tRNA from 1 species